rnacentral:tRNA from 1 species
GCCGAGCUGGUGAAAUUGGUAUACACGCAGGUUUUAGGUACCUGUGUCCAAAAUGACGUGGGGGUUCAAAUCCCCCGCUCGGCA